GACGAACGCUGGCGGCGUGCUUAACACAUGCAAGUCGAACGGAAAGGCCCUGCUUUUGUGGGGUGCUCGAGUGGCGAACGGGUGAGUAACACGUGAGUAACCUGCCCUUGACUUUGGGAUAACUUCAGGAAACUGGGGCUAAUACCGGAUAGGAGCUCCUGCUGCAUGGUGGGGGUUGGAAAGUUUCGGCGGUUGGGGAUGGACUCGCGGCUUAUCAGCUUGUUGGUGGGGUAGUGGCUUACCAAGGCUUUGACGGGUAGCCGGCCUGAGAGGGUGACCGGCCACAUUGGGACUGGGAUACGGCCCAGACUCCUCGGGAGGCAGCAGUGGGGAAUAUUGCACAAUGGGCGGAAGCCUGAUGCAGCAACGCCGCGUGCGGGAUGACUGCCUUCGGGUUGUAAACCGCUUUCGCCUGUGACGAAGCGUGAGUGACGGUAAUGGGUAAAGAAGCACCGGCUAACUACGUG
rnacentral:rRNA from 1 species